AAUUACAGCUGACACUAAGAACUGUUUGAGAUGACUUGAGGAGGGUGGGGGGCAAUGGUAGACAAUGGUUUGUAUUAUUUAGUGGGAUAAAGGUGACAUUUCAGGGAAUGUGGAAGACUAAGGAAGGCAGAGCCUCCUUGUCUGCCCCCUCAGAUCCAAACAUCAGUUGCUCUUGUACUCAAAGCCAGCAGGGAUCCGGGAGGGAAAGACAAGCCGCUGUAAUCAGUUUAAGCUUCCAGACAAGCCGGCCCCCAGGUUCUGUUUAUGCACUUUCCACCUCGCCAGAGACCUCUUGAUUUAUCCAGGAGAUGAACACUGCCUUCUUCUCUUCCUUCUCUCACCACUCUCUUACGAAACCUCCCAAAUAAGAUUAAGGAGGGCUUCCUUUUCAAUGAAACACAACUUUAAAACAUACACACAAGUCCUCAUCAAAAUGUGCCACCCUGCUUUCUGUAAGCAAAAUCCACGUGAUGCAGAACAGGGGUGAGGAACCUCCAGCCCAGGAGCCAAAUUGAGCCCUCCAGACCUCCAUGCAUCAGCCUUAGAACUCUGCCCAGGCCACCUCUCCUCUCCCCAGACCACAUGUGCAUUUGUUAGGCUUGCCAUACAUCAGGAAAAUUCCUGACAUGUCCUGGCUUUCGGGUGCAAAAAUGGUGUCAUGGGGAAAUCCAGAGGUAAAAUCACUAUCUUUGGGUUAGGUUUCCCUAAAAAAGCUCAACAACUUUGUAGGUGUCAGGAAUUUUACUUUAUAAAACAUGGCAACCCUAGCAUUUGUUUCUCUACCCACCAGUGACAUGCACUCCUCAGAAGGUUUCCCAGAAGAGGAUGCGGCCCAUGAGCUGAAAAACCUUCCCCAAGUGAAUGCUAGUCUAUUUGCAUUUAAAGGUUAAUAUAUUAAAUUUGCACUUUCCAUAACAAUAGGAGAAGCAAACCUAUUUUGCAGUGCAGUAUUCCAGCUAAGCAGUGUUUAUGAAAAAUGUGUCUGCUAGGGUAAAGUGUGCAUAAAAAUGAAUAUAUUCAUGAAAAUAGCAUACAAAAAAUGCAUUCUAUUAAGGGGGAAAAUUGCUUGCAAAAAUACACAUAUUAGUCUAAACAUCAUACAGAAAUGUGUUCAUUAGAAAUUUGCACUGAAGUGCUGGUUCAUCUUAUAGAGAUUUAAAACAAAAAUAAAUCACAAUUUGUGGCAGAAAUGCGGAGAACUGAACGAGAAUAAACAAGAAACUGAGAAAACCAAAACUGACAGAUCCUUCCAUCUCUAAUCCAGAGGGUAGGGCCUGAUUUAACAGGUUUGAAUUAUGUGAAAGGGGAUCUCAACAUUUGGAAGACCUGCCUGGUGGUCCAUCAGUGGAGCAGACAGCUUCAUAUGGUAAUGAACUCUUUUCCUUUCAAGGUUUUUAAGAUCGAUGACCACCUAGCAGGGAUGUUGCAGCCGCAGAUUCCAUGAAUUGGCAUUGGGGUGAGACUGGGUGAUUUUUGAGAUCCUCACCAAAGCUUUGAUUCUAUUAAAUGGCCCCCACAAAAUAGCAUAACCUCCAACAUUUGAAUAAUGAAAAAAAUAGCAGCAAUGCAAAAUGCCCAUGUUUUGAUCAUGAGAAUCACACUCUGAAUUUCAUUAUUAAACAUUGCUGAAAGGUAUAGUCUGGCUACUAAUGUUGCAUUCAUUUGUUCUGCCAUAGCCCCCUGCUCUGCUGUGGGGACAAGCAAGACAAUACAUGAGAUGCAUGAUCAGAUUUCACAGGUCUUUUUUAAAAGGGGAAGGGCUGGAGAAACAGGCAUGGGAAAGAUUUGUGGUAGCUUCCUUCCUGGACUGUACAUAGGAUGUGAGGACUGGUUUUUUUGUUUUGUUUUUAAAGACAAUGGGGUGGAGUGUGGGAGAAGAAACCCCUCUUGUACACCAUGGUGUGUGUGGAGGGGGUACUUUUCAUUAGGGCCGUGGUGCUGGAGGGAAUAAUUUUUUAAUACCCCUUUUUGCUUGCUAUGUAUCCUGAUGAAUAUAAGAACAUAUAAAGAGCCUUGUUGGAUUGGGUCAAUGGCCCAUCUAGUCCAGCAUCCUGUUCUCACAGUGACCACCCUGAUGCCUCUAUUGGGAAGACCACAAGCAGGACGUGAGUGCAACGGCACUCUGCCCACCUGCAGUUUCCAGCAACUAAUAUUCAGGGACUUCCUGCCCCAAGCAUAUUUUAAACAAAAGAAAUAAGGGUGGAGGGGGACCAAGACUGUGCAUUUCAAUGAUUGUUUAGUGUGGCCCUUUAUAGGCUUAUCUUACAUGUAUUUGUCCAAUCCUCUUUUAAAACCAUCCAAGUUGAUGGCUUCAGCUGUUUCAUGUGGGAGGCAGGCGGCCCAGAAGUGACUUUGAUGGCUUUGGUGUGUGGAACGGCAGGCUGUUAUGUGCACAAUACCUUGCAUGGUGUUAUGUACUGAGUUGAAUAGGAUCCAAACUGCAGCAGUCUGAUUGGUCCUAGAACAAUUGGAUCCAAAAUGUAGCAGUCUGAUUGGUCCUAGAAUAGGAUUCAGAAUGCAGUAGUCUGAUUGGUCCUAGAACAAUGCAGCAGUAUGAUUGGUUGGCAGGAGCCACCCAAUCCAGCUCCAGAUAGAAGUGAAUCCACAACCUUAUUGGCCUACAGGAGAAUUCCGGAAUUAGCCAAUCACGUGCAGCCCAUUGUGUAAAUAAUGUAUAUAAAGCAGAUACUUUGAGGGGACAUUCAUUCCUCCUCACCACUAUGAGCUGAAUAAAGAGCAUGAAAUCCACUCUCGACUCUGAGUAUAUUUCACAUACGCAUCUGUAUAUGCAUCUAUGCACAAGACAUUGUGUGUCUAGGGACCCUCAGGAGUUUCUCUUUCUUUCUUAUAAACACUGCAGCUCAUGGUCAUCUAAAGAAGCUGAGCGUUGGAAGAAUCAGGAUAGAUAAAAGAAACUUCUUUUUCACUCAGCACAUGGUAAACCUGUGCAACUUUCUCCUGCGGCACGCAGUGAUAACCACCAACUUGGAUGGCUUUAAAAGAGGGCGGGACAAAGGCAUCGAGGAAGACAAAGUUAUCAAUAGCUACUAGCCAUAAUGGCUAUGGUCUGCCUCCAUAGUCAGAGGCAGCAGUGUAUCGCAGGAGCAUGCUGGUCAGUAAUCACACAGUUUAAAGUUGGAGUUAACUCUUUAUUAGUGAAAACAUGAUCCCCACAGACUUGGUUGAGUGUCAGGCCUAAUGAACAGAGCAGUUCAUUCCCAAUGGUCUUACUCCAUGAAAAUCAGUUUCCAGGACUGUUUAUUAAAUGGGUAAAAUCAAUUUACACAUUACAGACAGCACAGAUAAUUGUUAAUGGAGAAUUGACUAAAACCUGUGAGAUACAGAAGAGGACAAGGCAAGGGUGUCCAUUGUUCCCAUUACUUUUCAUUCUGGUCUUGGAAGUUUUGCUUAGAGAUAUUAGACAAAAUGAAUUAUAACAAUGAAGAUAAAAGAAGAAUAUGACAACAAAAGAUCAGAAGGUUUUGGAGAAAACAGGGUUUCACAAUGGAAAAAAAUGAAAUACUUGGGUGUUACUAUGAUAAAUAUGAACUGCUCGUUAUUUCAAAAUAAUUAUGUUAUGAAACGGGCUGAAACUUAAAAAGAUAUGUAAAGAUGAGAGACAUUAAAACUGUCAUUAUUAGGUAGAAUUUCAGUGAUAAAGAUGAAUGUUUUUUCCCCAGAAUGAUGUUUUUAUUUCAAACAUUACCUAUUUUGACUAAUGACUUACCAUUUAAACAAUGGCAAAAAGAUUUAUCUAAGUUUCUAUGGCAAGGAGAAAAACCACAAGUCAAAAUGAAAAUAUUUCAAUAUGCGAAGGAAAGGGAAGAACUGGGUUUACCUGACCUGAAAUAGUACUUUGCAGACUGUUGUUUAGUGUUGAUGAAGGAAUGGGUGACCCUGAGAACUAGAAGAUCAUGAUUUAAGAUUUGGAUGGCAUGGAUAUUUGUGGUAUGGUAAGAUCAAAGCUAAUGUAGAUUUCAAAAUCAUUUCAUAGAAAACAUGCACUCCACUAUUAGAAUGGAGUUAGGGAGACGGUAAAAUUUAAAAAAAGGAACAAGGGAAGGUUAUAGUCUUUAAUUGUUUUUUUCCACCUACAACUAACAGAGAGAUUUAAGUUGGAGAAAAAGACAUUUGGUAUAGAACAAGAAAGACAGAUUUUUAAAUUAAGUUGUGUACAGAUAAUGAACAUGUUAUUGAGAAAAUUUCAACAAAACAAGUUAAAUGGGCAAAAAUGGGUAUGAUAAACAGAUGGAACAGUGGGAACAUAUGUUGACUAAAGGGUUAAAAUACACAUUUUAUUACAAAAUGAUGUAUCAUUGGGACUUAACUCCUGAUAGGUUAUUUAGAAUGUAUAAAAACAUUCCAAAUACUUGCUGGAAGUGUCAAGAAGGGACAUUUUUUUCAUGCUUGGUGGACGUGUAAAAAAGCUAAACAAUAUUGGAAACACUGACACUGAUACAGGAGAUUUUUAAGGUCAAUUUUCAACUAAAGCCGGAGCUCUUCCUGUUGGGACUUACGGUAUACAAUUAGAAAAAGACUAUGGAACUUUAUUUCAAAAUAUAUGCACAAAGAUGGAAAGAUUAUAGCCUCCAGUGGAGGAAUGGUUGUUAAAAUUACUGGACUUAGUUGAGAUGGCGAAACUGAUGUGGUUAAUCAGAGAAAAAUCAUUGUCAACAUUUACUAAAGAUUAGAAACUUCUUAUAGACAUUGUUCAUGAAAAAGAAAAUGAACUUAUGAUAUGUGGGUUUGAGGAUUCAAGAUAAUGCUGGGGAGAUUUAUUAGGUGUUAUCUUAGAGUGAAUGUGUUGAAUAAUUCUCUAUAAAACUGACAAAUGAAUAAUUGGAAGUUCUCUUUUUCUUUCUUUUUCCUUCUCUCUCUUUUUGCUCUGUGUUUUUAUUUAGAUUAAAUUUUUAUACAAUUCAUAAAAAUAUAUCCAAUAUUAAUCAUUGUAUUUCCCCCCCAAAUUUCAAAAUAAACAAAAAUCAGUUGCCAAGAAAGACCCUGUCUGCUCACAGCCAUCUAAAUCCCCUUCUCUCCAGGGCUUUCCCCAAGCAAUCAGAGACUACGCCUGCAUGCAGCCAACUUCUCCUCUGCCCUUUUCAUGCCUCUUCUGGUUCUGGGAGACAAGGGGAGAGGGGAGCUUGUCGCAGCAGGAGGGGGAGACGCCUGUGACUCUUCACCAGCCUGACUCAUUUCUGCCUCUUGGCCUCCCUCCUCCCACUCUCCUGCUUCAGCUUCUGGCUCUGAUUCUGGACUUCUUUCUGCCACAGAUUCUCCCAGCUUACUAAGCCCUGUUACCUCUUCAGCUUCUGACAUCUCCUCUUCCUAGUCUUCUCCCUCUGGACCAUUUAUCGUUGUCCCACUACUACUCCCUGGGCUCUGAGCCUUCCUCCCUUGUGGUUCCCUGGCUUGCUCCUCCUUCUGCAUCAAACCACUCUAUGACACAGUGCUUCUGAAUCCCAGCUGGUGGAAACAACAGGAGGAGAGGGUUUUGUGCUCGGCUCUUGCUUGCAGGUUUCCCACAAAAGGCAUCUCAUUGGCCACCGGGAGCAGGAUGCUGGACUAGAUGGGGCCAUUGCUUGAUGAAGCAGGGCUGUUCUUAUGAAUCACAGUCCUGAGGGGCAAAAAUACUAGCAACUCAAGUUAGAAACAUUUUUCAAAAGUCAUUGCUAAGCAGUGAUUUAGCAGCAGCUACCAAAAUACAUAGGUGGUCUACAAAGGGACAUCUGCAAUGUAUAGGGCAGCAAAAUAUUCCCUGGCCCUUUCUUUGAGAGUCCAAAGGGUUGAGGUUUGCAGUCAGCAGUCUGUAAUUUUAUAAAGAAGCUUGUUCAAAGUACUUUUGGUUAUUUUCCUUCACCUUCUUAUUUUGAUGGGGUGGUGGUCCCCAAAGCACACCCCAUUUUGUCCUGUAAUUGAUUUUCAUUAGAGCUCUCCUUUUACUGUCAGCACCUAAUUAUCAACCCAUAAUUGACCCCACCUUGCUAUAAAAGCUAAUGGCCGCUCUGAUUCCACCUCACAGCUCUUUCGAACUUUGGCUUGUCCAGUCACCAGCUGUUCUCAGUGGCAGAUCCCAAAGAGGCAGCCUGACUCGUGAUUCAAAUUGGCAAGGUUUCCAAGGAUGAGUUGCUGUUGGAAAAACAAACAGGGGCAGGGAGAGAGAUUAUGGUCUGGAUUUAGCAAAAUGACAGUUUUACAAAGGCGAGACCUCCUCUUGUCCAAGACAUCCCCUCCCACAAAGAAAUGCAUAAGGGACAUUUCACUGCUUUAGAGAGAUACAAGUGUCUUUGAGACAGAGGUCCACUGGCAGGAGAAGCUAACGAGAAAUAUACUUUGCCCUUCUGUGCUACUCAGUCCCCAUGUUUGUUUUUCCUGGGGCCGCCACUGCUGGUGGAAAGGAAGGGGAGCAAAAGGGAAGGAGCAAAUGAAAUAGUUAAGAAGGGAAGGGAAGGGAGGAAGAGCAAAAAGAAAAGGGAUGG